CGUCUUCCUGCACUGCUGGCUCCUGACAUUUUUCACGUGGUGCUGCAUGAGGAUCGUCAUAAGUCUCUCCAUUAGGGUUAUGUAGGCGUCCAUCUGGCAGAGCAGGUCGAGAGCAUUUAUGUUGUCCGUUUCCUCUGUUCCAGAGGAAGCUGGGUCCACUUGUCCCGUUCCCUGGAAGUGAGAGAGCAUGGGCACAGUGAAAGGGAGGCAGGCGUGUUUUGCAGAGUAUCACCCUGCAGGGCUCUGACUGGUGUGGAGCAUUUCCAGCCUCGCAGGACUGCUCAGGGCAGCCCGUGGGGCUCACACUGCCUGUGGCACACCCUGUGUUGCUCAGGGGUCUCCCACUGUGUGACAGCCCUGUGGCUGGGCAAGUGCCUG
ensembl:lncRNA